GGCACCGUUAACGGAGUAUAAAAAGUGCCCCAGGAAUGCAUUUCCGACAGAGCCGCCGCGCCCUCCAAGUCUCAAGUGCAAAGCGUGACUGAACUCCUGCUUGCCAAGUCGACACCAAUGAUGAAUUUGUUCCACCUGUUGGUCGUGGUGAUCGCUGCCAUGUUCGGCACCGCGCACGCCCUUCCCGAACCCGACCCCAUGGCGGAUGCUGGGCACGACCUGGUGGUACGAGGAUAUGUGCAGCCUCCUCGCUUUCACUACCGAGGCUUCCACAGGCCUUACCCCAAGUACGACUGGGAGUAAGAGGUUUCAACACGGACGUUCCUUCUGCAGUGGACACCCAGUCUAUCCUCCUCAUCCUCUUCUAUGAUAGAUGAAAUAUGAUAAACUUAUUCUUAGGACGUCGCAGCAGGAUGUGUGAUGUGAGGUUUUUGUUGUGGCUCUUUGUAUUCAGGAUUUGAGGUUGGAGGGUCGUAAGUGGCAAGGAUUUGAGGAUAUUUAUUGGCAGGUUUCGUAGGAUAUGAAAAAUUUUGGAUAGUUUUUUUUAAAAAUGUUACUUUGUGGAGGAUCUUGCUAAUUUUCAAGAGUGAUUUUGGUUCUGUAGGAUAUGGAAAGUAUUGAUUUUUUGGACAGAUAUUUGAUUUUUUUUAUAGAUGGUUUCUGCUAGUCUUCUCGAGUCUCGAAAUGGAAAGAAAAAAAUAUAUAUACAUAUAGGAAGAAGUCAACGACGCUAUUUAUUACUCUAUAAAAUCAUGUCCCUGAAAUGCUGCUGUAUCGUCCGUGUAAACUUUCACACAACUGUAACUGUAUUACAUAUGGACAUGCUGUAAUUUGCAGUCCAUACGAAGGAUUGAAAAAUAAAAUGAAACACUCCCAAGC